GCCCACAUAGCUCAGCAGGUAGAGCACAUCCAUGGUAAGGAUGGGGUCAUCGGUUCAAUUCCGGUUGUGGGCUCCA
rnacentral:tRNA from 1 species